UUCCCAGGAGGCCUCGGGCUGCGCCUACAUCACCCAUCAUGCCCGAGCUCGGGCCCUAGCCGGUCUUCUAAGGAGUGCAGAGAAAGCCGCGGGAGUCUUCGUUGAUGGAGCAGCGGCGGCUCUGAUCCACCAGAUUAUUCUGGGCCAAGGCUUUUGCGACCUUCCUUCCUACCCGCAAAAAGAUACUAACAAUUUUCCAGCCCGGGCACGAGCCACGUGACCGGCCAGUGUCAUGUGAUCCCGGUGCUGGGCCGCGGAAGUCUGUUACCGUGGCAACUGAUCGGACCCCACAGCCUUCCGGGGAAGCGCGGAAUUUAGAGAGCGUUUUCAAUGUUUUCAAUGGAAUGUUUAGUUUGAGAAGUGAAAACUGCUGAUUAUGGCUUACUAUUCCAAAGAAGAGCUGGAUGAAGAAUUUGAACAGUUCAUGAAAGAGUGGUGUAUCAGUAGAGAAGCGUUCCGGUUUCUCCAUAUCUUUGCCAGCACUGUUGUUAUCUGGUGACCAGCUUUUUGUUUUGUUUGUUUUUAGUGAUAGAAAUCUAGAAAGCAGAAGAUUGUCGAAGGUGAGAAUACCAACUAUGUGGUAGGUGGUGGGUGUUCUCCUUUUCUUUUUCUGAUCUUUGCCACAACCCUGCAAUGUCAGUGGUACUAUGACUAUAACUGAUGUAUAAACUGAAAAGAGGGGUAACUUUCCCUAAACUACAGAGCUAGCAUAUUUUAAAGUCUGAAAAUCUGCCUGGCCCCUAAAACCUACACUCCUUCCACACUCUUAUGAGGCCAUGGGGUUUAGAAGGAAUAGACUGAGUCUCAGGCAGAUUGUCUGCAUUUGGUAAACAGUGACAUGUAGGGAGGAGAGAGAAGUGGCACAUUUCAAAGUGAUAGUGAGUUUAGAGACUGAUUGGAAAGUGAUGCAACUAAA